GGAGACGUGGCCGAGUGGUUGAAGGCACUGGUCUUGAAAACCAGCGACCCCGCAAGGGGUCCGUGGGUUCGAAUCCCACCGUCUCCGCCA
rnacentral:tRNA from 1 species